rnacentral:rRNA from 1 species
AUGUUAGUGCAACCUAUCAAUGUUAUGUGUUGGAAUGUCCGGGGCCUCAACUGUCCGGAUAGACGAGCUACUGUCAGCGCCACCAUCGCUGCUUCUUCUUGCCAUAUUGUGUGUCUACAGGAAACAAAGCUUCACAAUGUCGACAUCUUCACAGCUUCCUUCUUAGGAGGGAGCAGACUCCGCAGUUUUGCGCAAAGGCCGGCGGACGACACUCGUGGAGGCAUUUUGCUGCUCUGGGACGACCACCUUGUGGAAAUGUCCAACAUCAUAGCUACCACCUUCUGCCUGUCCGCCAUGGUCCGUAUUCGUGACUCCGAUGUGCAAUACAAGCUCACCACCGUGUACGGCCCCGCGGAUUCUUCUCGCAAAGAUGCCUUCUUCGCGGAGCUUAUCAGCCAAAAACCGCCCAAUGGCAUGCCAUGGCUUGCGGCUGGGGAUUUCAACCAAAUUUAUCGUGCAAGAGACAAAAAUAAAAGGCAUGUCAAUCGAAGUAGAAUUAAUCGGUUUCGAGCGACACUGCAAAGUUGUGAGUUAAAAGAGAUACGCCUGCAAAAUAGGAGGUUCACUUGGAGCAACGAGAGGGAAAACCCGACUAUGUGCAAACUGGACUUGUUUUUUUGCAAUGUCGAGUGGGACACCACUUUCAGCACUCAUCUGCUUCACGCCCUCUCGUCCUCUCUAUCCGAUCACUGCCCGCUUCUCCUCGCAGAUGACAAGGGGCCUCGGAGGCCUAGAACCUUCAAGUUUGAAAUUUUUUGGAUUGCUAUGCCCGGCUUUAUGGAGGUGGUCAAAAAGGCUUGGAUUGAGCCGCUCGAGCAUGUUGAGCCAUAUCAAGUCCUGUUCCAUAAGCUCAAGAAGGUGGCUCUCCGCCUUUCCGAAUGGAGUAGGGGCCUUUUCUCCAAGGCAAAGGUUCACCUACACGCUGCACUAUUCGUGAUCCUACGCCUCGACAUCGCUCAAGAGACCCGACAACUCUCCCCCGAGGAGAGUGACCUUAGGGCGAGGCUUAAAAGGAGGGUCAUUAGCUUGGCCGUGCUUGAGAGAGCUCGGAAAAAGCAAAGUGCGAGAAUUGCUAACCUCAAGGAGGGUGAU